UGAAAAAUUAGCGGAUGACUUGUGGCUGGGGGUGAAAGGCCAAUCAAACCGGGAGAUAGCUGGUUCUCCCCGAAAGCUAUUUAGGUAGCGCCUCGUGAAUUCAUCUUCGGGGGUAGAGCACUGUUUCGGCUAGGGGGUCAUCCCGACUUACCAACCCGAUGCAAACUACGAAUACCGAAGAAUGUUAUCACGGGAGACACACGGCGGGUGCUAACGUCCGUCGUGAAGAGGGAAACAACCCAGACCGCCAGCUA
rnacentral:rRNA from 1 species